GCUCCGGUCGUCUAGUCCGGUCAAGGAUCUUGGCCUCUCGAGCCAAAGACGUGGGUUCAAAAACAGGUGUUGGAAAUCCCGCCCGGAGCA
rnacentral:tRNA from 1 species